rnacentral:sRNA from 1 species
AAGAUGAGAUUUGAGUGGGGACACAGCCAAACCAUAUCACUCUCUCUCUCACCUGCAUUGCCAUUUGCCUCAUUGCUUCCUGAGCUGAUCUCCUGUAGUUGGAACACACACCUGCACGUGCACCUGAGCAAGUGUAUGCAGGCACACACACCAGUGUGGAGUGUCAGCUUCCUUCUCUCUGCCCUGUUCCUGGUCGAUUCCUUACUACAUUUCCGACUUUGCAGGAAAGGGGUUCCCUUGCAUUCCUUUCCAGAACUAGGCCUAUUGGCCACUUUCUCCAAAUUGCACUCUCCCCUCUGCAGCCCCCCACACCUCCGCAGAGCCACAGUGUUUGCCAACGGGUCUCUGCUGCUGACCCAGGUCCGGCCACGCAAUGCAGGGAUCUACCGCUGCAUUGGCCAGGGGCAGAGGGGCCCACCCAUCAUCCUGGAAGCCACACUUCACCUAGCAGAGAUUGAAGACAUGCCGCUAUUUGAGCCACGGGUGUUUACAGCUGGCAGCGAGGAGCGUGUGACCUGCCUUCCCCCCAAGGGUCUGCCAGAGCCCAGCGUGUGGUGGGAGCACGCGGGAGUCCGGCUGCCC